rnacentral:rRNA from 1 species
UACGGGGGGGGGCAAGCGUUGUUCGGAAUUACUGGGCGUAAAGGGCUCGUAGGCGGCCAACUAAGUCAGACGUGAAAUCCCUCGGCUUAACCGGGGGAACUGCAUCUGAUACUGGAUGGCUUGAGUUCGGGAGGAGGGAUGCGGAAUUCCAGGUGUAGCGGUGAAAUGCGUAGAUAUCUGGAGGAACACCGGUGGCGAAGGCGCUCUCUGGACGCAACUGACGCUGAGACGCGAAAGCG